CAAACACUCAGCAAUUUGACCCACAUGGCUGGAGAUGCUUCUCCACGGUCUUGAAGCAGCUUCUCCACUGUGAGAACCAUCAUCCUAGGAUCAAUCUCAGAGAAGUCCAGCAGGCAUUUCUGGAAGUCCCUGCACAACUCUGGCAUGGUGGAGAACAGUAUGGUUUCCUAAUUGAAGAUGACCUAGCGGUAGAGGAGCUGUGUCCUUCCCCCACUAUUUAAGAAGCCAAGCUGGGGGAAUCAAGAUCACCAGGGAAAAGAGGGAGCCAGAUCAUCUGUCUGCUGAUCU